UGGGGAUUCGCCAAGCGGUGAAGGCACGGGAUUUUGACUCCCGCAUUACGCCGGUUCGAAUCCGGCAUCCCCAG
rnacentral:tRNA from 1 species